rnacentral:rRNA from 1 species
GACGAACGCUGGCGGCGUGCUUAACACAUGCAAGUCGAACGAAGUGGGAACGGGUGAGUAAUACGUGGGUAACCUCCCUCCUUUUUGGGAUAAUCCUUGGAAACGGGGUCUAAACCGAAUAGAUGGGCUAGCGGCCUAUCAGCUUGUUGGUGGGGGGAUGGCCUACCAAGGCGGUGACGGGUAGCCGGUCUGAGGGGAGGAACGGCCACAUUGGGACUGGGACACGGCCCAGACUCCUACGGGGGGCAGCAGUGGGGAAUCUUCCGCAAUUGACGAAAGUCUGACGGAGCAACGCCGCGUGAGUGAUGACGGCCUUCGGGUUGUAAAGCUCUGUUAAUCGGGACGCGGUACCGGAAUAGAAAGCCACGGCUAACUACGUGCCAGCAGCCGCGGUAAUUC